AGAGUUUGAUCCUGGCUCAGGAUGAACGCUGGCGGCGUGCUUAACACAUGCAAGUCGAACGGAAAGGCCUCUAGCUUGCUAGAGGUACUCGAGUGGCGAACGGGUGAGUAACACGUGGGUGAUCUGCCCUGCACUGUGGGAUAAGCCUGGGAAACUGGGUCUAAUACCAUAUAGGACCGCGCUUUGGAUGGUGUGGUGGAAAGCUUUUGCGGUGUGGGAUGAGCCUGCGGCCUAUCAGCUUGUUGGUGGGGUAAUGGCCUACCAAGGCGGCGACGGGUAUCCGGCCUGAGAGGGUGUACGGACACAUUGGGACUGAGAUACGGCCCAGACUCCUACGGGAGGCAGCAGUGGGGAAUAUUGCACAAUGGGCGCAAGCCUGAUGCAGCGACGCCGCGUGGGGGAUGAAGGCCUUCGGGUUGUAAACUCCUUUCGCUAUCGACGAAGCCUUUUAGGUGACGGUAGGUAGAUAAGAAGCACCGGCUAACUACGUG
rnacentral:rRNA from 1 species